rnacentral:tRNA from 1 species
AUGGGUGUAGCUCAGUUGGUAGAGCGCCGGUCUCCAAAACCGGAAGUCGGAGGUUCAAGUCCUUCCGCCUAUG